UUUCUACUCCCUCCGUUUGGAAUUACUUGUCGCAGAAAUGGAUGUAUCUAGACGUAUUUUAAUUCUAGAUACAUCCAUUUCCGAGACAAGUAAUUCCGAACGAAGGGAGUAGUUU
rnacentral:pre_miRNA from 1 species